AGUCACAAUUUAAAACAAUGUAUUGGCAUAUAUUUUUUCCAUGUGGAAGGCUGCUACAAAAGGCACACCUUUUGUUCUCAUCUGUACUCAUAGUGCUAAACCUCAAACUAAAAAAAUGCGGGCAUUGAUGCUGAAAUGAAAAAAAAAUAAAAUCAAAGCAUUUUCAUCCUAUUUCCUUUCAUGUACUCAGUUGUUCUCUGUCAACUGCUCUGACGACAUUGUCAGGAUGGUCUUUUAUGGAAGACAGACAUAGACAAGGAAUCCACAUAGUUAGGGUGAGGAACUUGAAUAGUUACAUCAUAAGGGUUAUGGGAGCCCAGUGAAUGUACAACUAAGCUAGACUGGAAAAAAAAAUCUUUCUUUAAUUGUACAAUGAUUUGAAAGAGUCACCUGUCUCAGAACUCAAGUGACCUUAGAAAUCCUCUUUUCCACCAUGCUAUUUUCACGGAUAUAGAUUUCACCACUCUCACCCCCAUGAACGCGAAAGCAUCUUUCAAAGGAAAUCUAACAAGUAUCGGGAUCAUGAGUCUGAGACAGGAGAGAAUCUAUUCUCUUUUCCUAUCACCGUGAGCCUCAUUGUUAGGCAGCAAGAACGCCAAUGUUUCCGCUUCCGCUGAAACUUUUACUGUAGUCGCUUUCCUAUUUCUCAGCAUUCUGAACUACCUGAAAUUCAAAACUAAGUUUGUCAUUAUACUUAUAAUUACACCUACGCAUCUCAUUUUGCUUCCUCGAAUAGCUAUUGGCUGCCUAUUCUUAAAAACUGCAUUGUUCCAAGGGGAGACGUCAGAAUGAGUUCUAAGAGCUCACAGUCAAGUGAGAGAUGUGAUCAGUUUCUCAGUGUGGCUACAAGGUACCGACUCUGUUCCUGGGCCUCCAAACAGGAAGGCAUUACUCCUAGGGAGUCGUCUAAUUGAGGUGGAGAUAGACAGAUCUUUCUUCUGCCACAAAUCAUCUGAGGUCAGCUUCUUUCUCUUCAUUGAUUAUACCAGCAGAAUUUUGUCCAUCACCCGACUUGGUUUGGAGAAGACACUUUCCAUUUGUACGGACUGGAUUUUCAGGACGAUUUCAUGAUGCUCAUGCUUCAUUCUGACAUGGUGGAAGAGUCAGAGUAAGUGUAGAUGACAGUGACCUGAGAGUGUGUUCUGUAAACAAAUCUGAUUCAUAGAAUCUUGCAUCUCAUCAAAGCGUAUCUGAAUUUUAAAAUAAAUGAAGCACUUUUGAAUUUUUUCUCUUCAUGGAAACCAGCUAUUGCCAUGAAUGUCAAACUGUAGACUUAGGGAUGUAAGAUCUAUCUUUGACAAGGAUCUAAAGACAGUUUUCCAAUUUUUUUUAACACAGCUUGCAAGUCUGUGUUGCUUUCUAAAAGGAGUCCACAACUGAUACAUUGGACUUUCCUCUGAAGGAGAAAGCAUAUAAAGGGAAUGCCUGGAAUCAAAUCAAAAUAAGCCAACCAUCAAAUUCCUGGGCCAUUAGUGAUACUCUGGCGAAGAAGAAUUAGAAACUAGAAGUUAGAAAUUCUCUAAGAGAUCCAGCCAUCAGGGCUGCCAAGAAGCAAAAAGGACUGAGAGAGCAUAUAAGAAGAUGAAAUUGCUUCUGCUAAGACUUUCACAAACACUUGAAGCCAACAAGACUUUGAAACUACACGAGUUGCUAGAUAAUGUGAAAUGGGAGGAUCGAACUUUCUAA
rnacentral:lncRNA from 1 species